rnacentral:rRNA from 1 species
AACGAACGCUGGCGGCAUGCCUAACACAUGCAAGUCGAACGAGGCCUUCGGGUCUAGUGGCGCACGGGUGCGUAACGCGUGGGAACCUGCCCUUAGGUUCGGAAUAACUCCCCGAAAGGGGUGCUAAUACCGGAUAAUGUCUUCGGACCAAAGAUUUAUCGCCUUUGGAUGGGCCCGCGUUGGAUUAGCUAGUUGGUAGGGUAAAAGCCUACCAAGGCGACGAUCCAUAGCUGGUCUGAGAGGAUGAUCAGCCACACUGGGACUGAGACACGGCCCAGACUCCUACGGGAGGCAGCAGUGGGGAAUAUUGGACAAUGGGCGAAAGCCUGAUCCAGCAAUGCCGCGUGAGUGAUGAAGGCCUUAGGGUUGUAAAGCUCUUUUACCCGGGAUGAUAAUGGCAGUACCGGGAGAAUAAGCUCCGGCUAACUCCGUG